rnacentral:rRNA from 1 species
AACGAACGCUGGCGGCAGGCUUAACACAUGCAAGUCGAACGGGCGUAGCAAUACGUCAGUGGCAGACGGGUGAGUAACACGUGGGAACCUUCCUAGGGGUACGGAACAACUCAGGGAAACUUGAGCUAAUACCGUAUACGUCCGAGAGGAGAAAGAUUUAUCGCCCUUAGACGGGCCCGCGUCGGAUUAGGUAGUUGGUGGGGUAACGGCCUACCAAGCCGACGAUCCGUAGCUGAUCUGAGAGGAUGAUCAGCAACACUGGGACUGAGACACGGCCCAGACUCCUACGGGAGACAGCAGUGGGGAAUCUUGGACAAUGGGCGCAAGCCUGAUCCAGCCAUGCCGCGUGAGUGAAGAAGGCCUUAGGGUUGUAAAGCUCUUUUGGCAGGGACGAUAAUGACGGUACCUGCAGAAUAAGCCCCGGCAAACUUCGUGCCAGCAGCCGCCGUAAGAC